rnacentral:rRNA from 1 species
UAAGGAAUAUUGGACAAUGGGCGAAAGCCUGAUCCAGCCAUGCCGCGUGAGUGAUGAAGGCCUUCGGGUUGUAAAGCUCUUUUGUCCGGGACGAUAAUGACGGUACCGGAAGAAUAAGCCCCGGCUAACUUCGUGCCAGCAGCCGCGGUAAUACGAAGGGGGCAAGCGUUGUUCGGAAUCACUGGGCGUAAAGCGUCCGUAGGCGGUUUGGAAAGUCAGAAGUGAAAGCCCCAGGCUUAACCUGGGAAUUGCUUUUGAAACUCCCUUACUUGAGGCUCGGAGAGGUUGGCGGAAUUCUCAGUGUAGAGGUGAAAUUCGCAGAUAUUGAGAGGAACACCAGUGGCGUAAGCGGCCAACUGGACGAGCACUGACGCUGAUGGACGAAAGCGUGGGGAUCAAA